rnacentral:rRNA from 1 species
CGAGCGGUAGCACAGAGAGCUUGCUCUUGGGUGACAAGCGGCGGACGGGUGAGUAACGCGUAGGAAUCUACCUAGUAGUGGGGGACAACAGUUGGAAACGACUGCUAAUACCGCAUACGCCCUAAGGGGGAAAGCGGGGGAUCUUCGGACCUCGUGCUAUUAGAUGAGCCUGCGUGAGAUUAGCUAGUUGGUGAGGUAAAGGCUCACCAAGGCGACGAUCUCUAGCUGGUCUGAGAGGAUGAUCAGCCACACUGGGACUGAGACACGGCCCAGACUUCUACGGGAGGCAGCAGUGGGGAAUAUUGGACAAUGGGCGCAAGCCUGAUCCAGCCAUGCCGCGUGCGUGAAGAAGGCCUUCGGGUUGUAAAGCACUUUCAGAAGGGAGGAAAGGUUGUGUGUUAAUAGCACAUAGCUGUGACGUUACCUUCAGAAGAAGCACCGGCUAACUCCGUGCCAGCAGCCGCGGUAAUACGGAGGGUGCAAGCGUUAAUCGGAAUUACUGGGCGUAAAGCGCGCGUAGGUUGUUUGUUAAGCGAGAUGUGAAAGCCCCGGG